GAUGAACGCUGGCGGCGUGCUUAACACAUGCAAGUCGAGCGGUAAGGCCCUUUCGGGGGUACGACGAGCGGCGAACGGGUGAGUAACACGUGGGUGACCUGCCCUCAGCUCUGGGAUAAGCCUGGGAAACCGGGUCUAAUACUGGAUAUGACUCCAUGACGCAUGUUGUGGGGUGGAAAGCCUUGUGCGGCUGAGGAUGGGCCCGCGGCCUAUCAGCUUGUUGGUGGGGUGAUGGCCUACCAAGGCGACGACGGGUAGCCGGCCUGAGAGGGCGACCGGCCACACUGGGACUGAGACACGGCCCAGACUCCUACGGGAGGCAGCAGUGGGGAAUCUUGCGCAAUGGGCGAAAGCCUGACGCAGCGACGCCGCGUGAGGGAUGACGGCCU
rnacentral:rRNA from 1 species